rnacentral:tRNA from 1 species
CCCUCGAUAGCUCAGUUGGCAGAGCGGAGGACUGUAGAUGUUACAACGGUGAUUCUUAGGUUGCUGGUUCAAAUCCGGCUCGAGGGA